UACGUAGGGACCAAGCGUUGUCCGGAAUCAUUGGGCGUAAAGAGCGUGUAGGCGGCUUGUUAAGUCUUGCGUGAAAUCUCGGGGCUCAACCCCGAGCGGUCGUGAGAAACUGGCAGGCUAGAGUGCGGGAGAGGAGAGUGGAAUUCCUGGUGUAGCGGUGAAAUGCGCAGAUAUCAGGAAGAACACCCGUGGCGAAGGCGGCUCUCUGGGACGGUACUGACGCUGAGGAGCGAAAGCGUGGGUAGCAAACAGG
rnacentral:rRNA from 1 species